rnacentral:rRNA from 1 species
UAGGGAAUCUUCGGCAAUGGGGGGAACCCUGACCGAGCAACGCCGCGUGAGUGAAGAAGGUUUUCGGAUCGUAAAGCUCUGUUGUUAAGGAAGAACGAGUGUGAGAAUGGAAAGUUCAUACUGUGACGGUACUUAACCAGAAAGGGACGGCUAACUACGUGCCAGCAGCCGCGGUAAUACGUAGGUCCCGAGCGUUGUCCGGAUUUAUUGGGCGUAAAGCGAGCGCAGGCGGUUAGAUAAGUCUGAAGUUAAAGGCAGUGGCUCAACCAUUGUAGGCCUUGGAAACUGUUUAACUUGAGUGCAGAAGGGGAGAGUGGAAUUCCAUGUGUAGCGGUGAAAUGCGUAGAUAUAUGGAGGAACACCGGUGGCGAAAGCGGCUCUCUGGUCUGUAACUGACGCUGAGGCUCGAAAGCGUGGGGAGCGAACAGG